rnacentral:lncRNA from 1 species
CCCACCUACGAUAGUAGAGGGGCAUUAUGUUUUCUGGUCUGUGCGUCCGUUCGUCCGUUCGUUCGUUCGUUCGUUCGUCCGUUCGUCCGUCUGUCCCGCUUCAGGUUAAAGUUUUUGGUCGAGGUAGUUUUUGAUGAAGUUGAAGUCCAAUCGACUUCAAACUUGGUACACAUGUUCCCUAUGAUAUGAUCUUUCUAAUUUUAAUGCCAAAUUAGAGUUUUGACCCCAAUUUUACGGUUCACUGAUAGAAAAUGAUAGUGCAAAUUUCAGGUUAAAGUUUUUGGCUUCAGGUUAAAGUUUUUGGUCAAGGUAGUUUUGAUGAAGUUGAAGUCCAAUCAACUUGAAACUUAGUUAUACAUGUGCCCUAUGAUAUGAUCUUUCUAAUUUAAAUGCCAAAUUAGAGUUUUGACCCCAAUUUACGGUUCACUGAACAUAGAAAAUGAUAGUGCAAAAUUUCAGGUUAAAGUUUUUGGCUUCAGGUUAAAGUUUUUGGUCAAGGUAGUUUUUGAUGAAGUUGAAGUCCAAUCAACUUGAAACUUAGUAUACAUGUGCCCUAUGAUAUGAUCUUUCUAAUUUAAAUGCCAAAUUAGAGUUUUGACCCCAAUUUUUACGGUUCACUGA